rnacentral:rRNA from 1 species
AACGGAGGGUGCAAGCGUUGUUCGGAAUUACUGGGCGUAAAGCGCGUGCAGGUGGUUUUCUAAGUUUCGUGUGAAAUCCCUCGGCUCAACCGAGGAACUGCGCGGAAAACUGGAAAGCUAGAAUACGGGAGAAGUGGGCGGAAUUCCCAGUGUAGAGGUGAAAUUCGUAGAGAUUGGGAGGAACACCGGCGGCGAAAGCGGCUCACUAGACCGAUAUUGACGCUCAUACGCGAGAGCGUGGGUAGCAAACAGG